rnacentral:rRNA from 1 species
GGUUAAGUUACUAAGGGCACAC